rnacentral:rRNA from 1 species
CGUGUAGGCGGUUUGGUAAGUCGGUUGUGAAAUCCCUUGGCUUAACCAAGGAACUGCAUCCGAAACUGUUAAACUAGAGUAUCGGAGGGGUGGCGGAAUUCCCGGUGUAGAGGUGAAAUUCGUAGAUAUCGGGAGGAACACCUGUGGCGAAGGCGGCCACCUGGAAGAUUACUGACGCUGAGACGCGAAAGCGUGGGGAGCAAACA